ACUCCUACGGGAGGCAGCAGUGGGGAAUAUUGCACAAUGGGGGAAACCCUGAUGCAGCCAUGCCGCGUGUGUGAAGAAGGCCUUCGGGUUGUAAAGCACUUUCAGUAGGGAGGAAGGUAGUGUAGUUAACACCUGCAUUAUUUGACGUUACCUACAGAAGAAGCACCGGCUAACUACGUGCCAGCAGCCGCGGUAAUACGUAGGGUGCGAGCGUUGUCCGGAAUUACUGGGCGUAAAGGGCUCGUAGGUGGUUUGUCGCGUCGUCUGUGAAAUUCCGGGGCUUAACUCCGGGCGUGCAGGCGAUACGGGCAUAACUUGAGUACUGUAGGGGUAACUGGAAUUCCUGGUGUAGCGGUGAAAUGCGCAGAUAUCAGGAGGAACACCGAUGGCGAAGGCAGGUUACUGGGCAGUUACUGACGCUGAGGAGCGAAAGCAUGGGUAGCGAACAGGAUUAGAUACCCUGGUAGGAUAGCGU
rnacentral:rRNA from 1 species